rnacentral:sRNA from 25 species
GUGUCCGUCCACCGGGACACCCCGGCCGCCCCGCGCGCGGCCCGGUUAGGCUGGGGCCGUGCGCCCUCCCGCCGGAGGACGCAAAGCCGACAGCCGUCGCAUCCCAGGGAGCACAUUCCAUG